rfam:Dipodomys ordii contig_51522, whole genome shotgun sequence.
GGAAAGGUAGCUUAGUGGUAGAGUGCUUGCCUCGUAUGCAUGAGGCUCUGGGUUCAAUUUCUCAGCACCA